UUAAAAAUCAUCUAACUUUACAAAUAAUGAAUAUAAUAUGCCUUUUUUCAUAAAAUAAAAUUUUUUUCAUAAAAGAUGUGUCUCACUCAAUCACAAAAUCAGGACUAUAAUUACGGUUUCUGAGAUCAGUUUUCAUGCCGCCAUACCACAGCCAGAGUAAAGAUCGCAGCAAGUAGAACUUCAUUUGAUAUGGGAGGUGCCGAAAAUUCUCUUGGUUGCUGUUUUUCUGUCAGCACAAUAUUUUUACAUGAAUUCUUUGAAAAAUAAUUAAUGUUGUGUUUCAAGUUACUACUGCUUGUUGAUGAAAAGAGUUUCACUCUGUAAAAUAUUUGACAAGAUUUAUUCUGAGUCAAAUAUGAGGACCAUAACCCAUGGCAUAGCCAGAGGAGAUACCAAGAACAUGUGCCCAGAGUGGUCGGGCUAUAGCUUGGUUUUAUACGUUUCAGGGAGACAUGUCAUCAGUCAAUACAUGUAAGAUGUAUAUUGGUUCCGUCUGGAAAGGCAGGACAACUCGAAGGGGCAGGGCUCCAAGUUAUAGGUAGAUUCAAAGAUUUUCUGAUUGACAGUUGGUUGAAACAGUUAUUAUCUAAACACCAUGAAUCAAUAGAAAGGAGUGUCUGGGUUAAGAUAAAGGGUUGGGGAGACCAAGGUUUUAUUAUGCAAAUGAAACCUUCAGGUACCAGGCUUCUGAGAUUUUACCAGACUUAAAAAGGUGCCAGACUCCUCGUAGUGAAUUAUCUCCUGGACCAGGGAAAAGAUCGGGAAAGGGAAGAGGAUUCGCUACCUAUUGUAGAUUUCCUUACAAGAGACAGCUUUACAGGGCCAUUUCAAAAUAUGUCAAAUAAAUAUAUUUUGGAGUAAAAUACUUCAAUUUCUUUCACGGCCUGCUACCAGUCAUGUUGGAAUUUUAUUGCUACAAAGAGUCUGUUAUGUCAGUCUUAAGAUCUCUGUUUGAAUGUUAAUGCUGGUCACUUGUGCCUGAAUUCCAAAGGAAGAAUGUAUAAUGAGGCAUGUCCUACCUCCCUUUUCCCAUCAUGGCCUAAACUAGAGUUCCUGGUUUAUUUUGGAAUUCUUUUAGCCAAGAGGGGUUCUAUAAGUUGCUGGGGGCCUUAGAAUUUUAUUUUUGGUUUUCAUAUUGUACAAUAUUAACAUUUCAAGGAAGUUUGACUCUUUUGUGGCCUCAAAUGUCUUUAAUAAUGUAUCUGCUCAAACAUAUUAAGUAGUUACACAUAAAACAAGGAGAUACAGUGGUCAGAAUUAUUGCUUCCAUCUUUGCCUCAUUUUCAGUGACAAAUCUUUAAAACUGAAAUGUAUCUUUUUAUUAUGAUGUGACAGGACUUUAUUUGGAUUUGUUUUAUUGCUAAGUAAAAUUCUAAUUUUACUUUAUUUGAACACAUUAAAUAUAGUGAAUCUUAAAUUUCAAUAACUGUACAAAUUAAUUUUUUUAAAAAAGCACAAUUUUCUGGUUUCAUGAUGUGAUCUUUGUUUAUAUGUUAUAUUGUUUGGAUAUAGUUAAAGCAUUGUGUCCAUUUUUGGACUGCAGUUUAGAAGAAGCUCAUAAAAGUGGAGAGGGUAUGUAUAUAAAAUGAGUACUUUAAUGGCAGGCUAAGAGAAUUGGCGUUGCUUAACCUGAAAAAGAGAGAGCUCAGGAAAUGUGCUAAUUAUCCCCCUCAGGCAUCUGAAGUGAUUUUAUGAAAAGUACUGUAGUUUUUCUUUCCACUUAGAAAGGAGAGAUUUGGGACUUAUCUUGUGUUAGAGGUGAUGGGAGCAUCUCAGGGAUUCAGCAAGGGUGAUUGCAGUUUUUACUUGUUAAUAUCUCUUAAGAGAAGAAUACAAUGAAAUGAUUACAAUGAAAAGAUUAGGUAUGAUGAAGUAACUUACUCAAGCAUGUGGCAUUGUCUCUCAAGCUUUCAUCCUAAAGAUGAUGAACUAGAAGCCCAGAGAGUGCUGGAGAAAGAACUUACAUCAAGAUCUUGCAUCAAGCCUUACAUCAGGGCUUUUGCAUGUCUCUGCACUACUUCUGAAUACUUACUGAGUGAUCUAAUAUUUCAUUAGAGUUGACUACACAAAAUUAAUUGGAAUGGGAGGUCAAGCUCAGGAUAAAUUGAGAAAUGCACCUCUUUCCAAGUAUUGCAGGUGAUGGCUUAUUUUGUUAGAGUGGUGACUUUCUGCCAGUGUGGCUAAAGAGAAAUAGAUGUGUUGAUUUUGAUUGAUUUGCAUUUAGAAAUUAUGGAAUAUUUGUAAUGUGUCCUCAAUCAUUGUGCUCUUCUUUUAUAAACUAGAAAGAAGUAUGGAGGCAUGGAUACCUUGCACCCCACCAUGACUGAAUAGUUAUUACUCGGAAUUUUUCACACCUAGCAGUGGUGCUAAUGUUUCAUCAGGGACAAAGAGACUGAUCCUGAAAACGGAAGUGAACAACGUGAUGAGCACUCUGAAAGGCUGAGGUGUACCUGACAACUAAGGUCUCACUGGUAUUUUUCUUUGAAAAAUGGAGGUGAUUCUCACCUUUUGGGGGAAGAUCUGUUGCUACUUGACCAUCACUGGCGAGUAUCUAACUGUUUCACGUCUCCAGAGAACCAAAGGUAAAUUAUAAAGCUGAUGGGAAUAUUAAAAUUCAUCAUUUCUUCUCAAUGCAUGAAUUCGGAUUAAUAUUUAACUAUUCAUUAAAUUUUUGUAUUUUGUCUUCUUCCUACUGUCAGUAAGGUUCAGUGGAAUUGAAGUCUAUGUUUACUCACUUUUAUGGCUUCUAUGCCCUCAGGAUGUCUGACACAUAUUAACACUCAGUAAAUAUUUUUAUUAUUGUUGUUGUAUAUAAAGCCAUUGCUAUUAUUAUUUUUAGUAUUAUAUGAUAUUGGUGUUUAGAAGGGACUUAAAACCUGGUGUAAUUCCUGUAUUUUGUGAUAAAAGACUGAGGCUAGGAAAGGGCCUGUAUAAACUUACACAGCUACAUGAACAGAACUUGGUUAUACUGACUUCAUUUAUCUCGUAGUCCAGAACAAUACAUUUUUGAGUAAACAACUUUGUUAGAGAAGGUCAUAUUUAGUAUAUAGUUUUGAUGAGCAUGACAUUAUCUGAGAUUCAAUACUUUAAUAACCCUCUUAUUAAUUGAUUAGUUAAUUCAUUAAAAUAUUGAUUUGUUAAUUCACCAAUAUUUCUUGAGACAUAUUGUGUGCUAAGCACUGCUUUACAUAGAGCAGUGAACAAAAGCCAAUAGAGUUCUCUGAGUUUAUGAUUUACCUUCUGUGAUGGGAGAGAGACUAUGAAAUAAAUAAAACAUUUUAUGUCAGAUGUUGGAAAGUAUCAUGAAAAAAAAAAAAAA